rnacentral:rRNA from 1 species
AUUGAACGCUGGCGGCAUGCCUUACACAUGCAAGUCGAACGGUAACAGGUCUUCGGAUGCUGACGAGUGGCGAACGGGUGAGUAAUACAUCGGAACGUGCCUAGUAGUGGGGGAUAACUACUCGAAAGAGUGGCUAAUACCGCAUGAGAUCUACGGAUGAAAGCAGGGGAUCGCAAGACCUUGUGCUACUAGAGCGGCCGAUGGCAGAUUAGGUAGUUGGUGGGAUAAAAGCUUACCAAGCCGACGAUCUGUAGCUGGUCUGAGAGGACGAUCGGCCACCCUGGGGCUGAGACACGGCCCAGACUCCUAUGGGAGGCAGCAGUGUGGAAUUUUGGACAAGGGGCGCAAGCCUGAUCCAGCAAUGCCGCGUGCAGGAUGAAGGCCUUCGGGUUGUAAACUGCUUUUGUACGGAACGAAAAGCCUUGGGUUAAUACCCUGGGGUCAUGACGGUACCGUAAGAAUAAGCACCGGCUAACUACGUGCCAGCCGCCGCAGUAAAAC